rnacentral:lncRNA from 1 species
AGCACCCUUCCCCCUGCCCAGUGCUUCAGAUCUGCCAUCAGCCAGAGCAUCGCACAGUGAGAAAAGCAGCCAGUGGCUGGAGCUGGGGAGCCCUAGAUUGUGCUGCACCCAGAAUACACAGUGCCUGAUCCUCACCCAGUGGAGGCAUGUGGCAGCAGCAACCAGAUAAUAAUGCCAUGUGGAGGCAAAAAUCCAUAUCAUCAAGCAAAAUGAGAAAGUAUAUUAAAUCUCCAGACGAGAAGGAAGAUCACAACUACCUGGAAGUCAACCCCGAAGUCACAGAAAUCCAUAACCUAAAUGGCAAAGAAUUCAAAAUAGCUACCAUAAAAAAACUCAACAAGUUACAAGAAAACACAGACAGACAAAUUAACGAAUUCAGGAGCUUCUUCCAAAAAUAGAUUGAAACUUUAAAGAAGAACCAAUCAGAAUUGUUAGAGAUGAAAAACACAAUGGAUGAGAUUUCAAAAAAUCUAGACUCCCUAAACAACAGCACUGACAAUAUGGAAGACAAAAUUAGAAAUUUAGAAGACAAUACUAUAGAGAUGCUUCAGAGAGAGGAGAAGAGAGAACUAAGACUAAAAAGAAAUGAAGAGGCUCUGAGAGAAAUAUCUGACUCAAUCAGGAAAUGCAAUAUAAGUAUUAUAGGUAUUCAAGAGGGGUAAGAAAAGGAGAAUGGAGCAGAAAGCUUGGUCAAAGAAAUAAUAGCACACCACAACUAGAAGGACUCACAAUAAAGAAUAUACAACUAUGUACUGGGGGGCUUUGGGGAGAAAAAGGAAAAAAAUUAAAAAAAUAAAAGAAAUAGUAGAGAAUUUCCCAAACCUGGGGAAGGAGAUGGAAAUCCACGUAAAAGAGGCUAUCAGAGCUCCUAACUAUGUUAAUGUAACAAGACCUACUGCAAGGCAUAUAGUAUGAACCCAGGAGCCAGGUUGUAUGAUCUUUCUUCAGUAUUCAGCUGCUCAGAUGCAGGCACAGAAGUCAGCCAGCUUGGUUUAAAACAAGGUUGGGGUUUGCAAGGUAAAUCAGACAAGGGAGGCAGGGGAUGGGCAAUAAGGGCA